AGGACGAACGCUGGCGGCGUGCUUAACACAUGCAAGUCGAGCGACGCUCCUCCUUCGGGAGGAUGACGGAGCGGCGAACGGGUGAGUAACACGUGGGCAACCUGCCCCUAGCUCUGGGAUAACCCCGGGAAAUCGGGACUAAUACCGGAUAUGAAGUCGGACGGCAUCUUCUGACUUGGAAAGUUUUUCGGCUAGGGAUGGGCCCGCGGCCUAUCAGCUUGUUGGUGGGGUAACGGCCUACCAAGGCGACGACGGGUAGCCGGCCUGAGAGGGCGACCGGCCACACUGGGACUGAGACACGGCCCAGACUCCUACGGGAGGCAGCAGUGGGAAUAUUGCACAAUGGGCGAAAGCCUGAUGCAGCGACGCCGCGUGAGGGAUGACUGCCUUCGGGUUGUAAACCUCUUUCAGCAGGGACGAAGCGAAAGUGACGGUACCUGCAGAAGAGCACCGGCAACUACGCGCCAGCAGCCGC
rnacentral:rRNA from 1 species